UACGUAGGGUGCAAGCGUUAAUCGGAAUUACUGGGCGUAAAGCGUGCGCAGGCGGCUAUGCAAGACAGAUGUGAAAUCCCCGGGCUCAACCUGGGAACUGCAUUUGUGACUGCAUGGCUAGAGUACGGUAGAGGGGGAUGGAAUUCCGCGUGUAGCAGUGAAAUGCGUAGAUAUGCGGAGGAACACCGAUGGCGAAGGCAAUCCCCUGGACCUGUACUGACGCUCAUGCACGAAAUCGUGGGGAGCAAACAGG
rnacentral:rRNA from 1 species